UGAAGUGUGGCUACCAUACAGUCUUGGUAAUGCCAUAUCUGGAAUUUCUGGAUAAGAUUCUUUAUAUUUUUACACACCUUUACUGAGCUGAAACACAGUAAGGGUUUACAGGGUUGGAAAGAAGAAAAAAGAAGAUAGGUUUUUUGUUAUUUAAUUGGUGAAUUACAUAAAAGUGGGAGGUUGGCGGUUCUAGAUACAUUCUGAGUCAGUUCACAAUGAUAUACGUAAUACCUCCAACAAACGCUGCUCAUGCCACAUCAGUAAGCCUUAAGAAAAAAAUAUUUUUAAUCCUCUGAAUAUUCAUACAUACAUCAUAUAUAAGUAAGCCAAUAUAAUCAUGCUUUGGCAACUCAUGCGUCUGUUGUUUGCUAAAAGUAGGCAACUAUAUUUACAGUAUCAAAAGGCGUUGCAAACACAGUUAAAUAUAUUGAUUCCAGACAUGCAGACGUCCUGCAACUUCAGAAUGCCAAUCUGCCAAAGAAAGAAAUAGUUCACCAUCUGCUAUUUUAUUUUCUGAAUUUGAUUUGCAUUGGUAUUUUUAUUAUUGCAUUAUUAAUGAAAUGCCUAUCCAGCACAUGAUUUUUAGAAGAUGAAGGCUGCUAUAGAUACUGAAGAAUUGGAGAUUUCAUGAGGAGUUAAAAUGGAACUAAAGGAUGGCAAGACAAAAUCCUCCAGUGUUCUUCAAAGAGAGAAGUUUGAAAGCAUGAACUGGGGAAGACACAAUGUUUCUGAAAGGUGAAUUCCAAGCUGGCUGAAAACAGAGAUCAAG